AGCAGCCGCGGUAAUUCCAGCUCCAAUAGCGUAUAUUAAAGUUGUUGCAGUUAAAAAGCUCGUAGUUGAAUUUCGGGAUCAAGGAAUCGGUCAUGCCUCGGUAUGUACUGGUUUUAUUGGUUCUCACCUUCUAAAGAACCAUGAUGUCAUUCAUUUGAUGUUAUGGGGAAUUAGGACUGUUACCUUGAAAAAUUAGAGUGUUUAAAGCAGGCUUACGCUUGAAUACAUUAGCAUGGAAUAAUGAAAUAGGACAUCAGAUUCUAUUUUGUUGGUUUCUAGGAUCGAUGUAAUGAUUAAUAGGGAUAGUUGGGGGCAUUAGUAUUCAAUUGUCAGAGGUGAAAUUCUUGGAUUUAUUGAAGACUAACUACUGCGAAAGCAUUUGCCAAGGAUGUUUUCAUUAAUCAAGAACGAAAGUUAGGGGAUCGAAGACGAUCAGAUACCGUCGUAGUCUUAACCA
rnacentral:rRNA from 1 species